CAACUCCUUCCCUCCCAGCCCCUCGGCUGUUGCUCUGUAGGGCUCUCACAACCGGCAGAGGCAGAAGAGGGUAGGAAUGAAGACACCAAAGGCCACCAAUAUAGGGAACAUGAGGCUGCUGUUGUCUGAGGCAUAGGGGUUUGGUGUGCGUGGGCCUGAUUGAACCCGGUUCUUAUUUGCCUGUUUUUUAACGCUGGAGCCAUCAUCAUAUUCAUCCUCAUCAUCGUCGUCCUCUUUUUUCUCCAGUCCUGGGUGCGGCUGCAGCUUUGGAACAUCUGUUGAACAAGAAGAAAAGUUACAAGGAGGCAGAAUGUAACCCAGGAAACCUCCCUGUCCUCAGAAGCGAGUGAGGAAAACAAAGCUCCAGGUAAGAAACACAGAACUACUAUCUAAAAGAACCCCAUAAAUUACUUGUUUGCAGGACUGCUGCUGACAGACAAAGCCAGAGAGAAUUCAUCUGCUGCUAUAACUUAAGACUGACCAGACGUGUUCCUUUCUCUUCUACCCCAUAUGCAAGAAGUCUUGUACCAAAUUCAUGCUACUUAUUCUGCAAACGACAGCUUUGUGCACUUACAGAGAAGGAGAAUGCUAAGGCACCUAUCUCAUUCUGCACCCUGUGGGAACGUGCCGAUAGAGAAACAGACUUGGCGGAGGAUGUACAGGGCGCAGAUUUUCGGAUUGUCAUAGUAGCCCUAGAGAAAGUGAAGGUGGAAAUCAUUGCUGCAGCAUAAUUCAAGAACCAAUCUCCCCACCUACUAUCACCUUCCCUACCCCCAGCACACAGCUGCAUCACGUGGCUGGGAAAGAAAAGGGAAAAGGAAGAUCAAGGCUCCGGCCAGCAAGGCCUCGUUACCUUUACAAACUCAAUAUGAAGCUUUCCUGUGAACGUGGAAACCUCUCCCUGGACACUCAGUUUUCCCUUUUUGAUACUCAUGGGAAUGAUCUCGUCGUGAGCCGUGCUAUGUCCAACUCUGUCAAAAAUGUCCAAGUCCUUCACCACGACAUGGCCGUUCAAGCGAACAUCAAACACCUUCAGGGCGGAAGAAACGACAGUGUCAGAACAGAUUCAGGCAUGCGACAGUUGAAAGAGGAAAACCAGAAAGCAUUGCAACACGCACUGUACCACCACACGUUCUCCACUCCCUUGAGAAGGAUUCAGAGGCCAAAAGCAGCCAUCGAGGCGUUAAGCUUUCCACCUGCUGGCUGAGGACCUGCUCCUACCACCCUAGGGAGGCUGUGGCACACCACGCCCAGGGAGUGAGGCCAUUUCUGAUGAACAGCCCAGAGCAAAGCAGGGAACAGGAAACAGAGUGGUGAAGCUACUGACAGGAUGUGGGGUUUGAAGGAGAUGAAAUGAUCAACUGCUAACCACAUCUGAAUUCAGAGUGAAAGUCCUCCUCGGGGCCUUAAUGACUCAAACUUCAGGCAGCACAUAGGGGAAUCCCAGCAGAACCCCAUGAGGGAAGAAGAGCCAGAGAUGUCUCAGCUCUUCAGCUUAAUCUGAGACUGUUUUUUGCAUCCUUUUUGUAAACCAGCCCCAACAGUUCUGUUCCCUGAAAUAUUUCUCUGGCAGGAUGGCAGUACAGUGUUUAAGAGGAGCUCUACAGCAGCUGAGAGUGAGGGAAAAGCCAGAUUGAAAUAUACAUUUCUCUCUCAGUUUAUCACAGGGCAUUGGGUUCUUUGUGCUUUCACUUCCGUAUCUUUACAAGAGGGAUUUCAAAAGCAGGCAAGGAUUAUUUAUCUCCAGAGAGCUUUGAUGAGGGUUGAAUUUAACUCUGUGCCUGCAGUGUCAUUUUGAACCAUUAUUAACUGCAAUUACACUCGUACAAAUUGUGUCAGUAGUUUAUUUAACCCAGAUCAUUUCCCUGAUUCAGUCCGUGCAAUACUUGCUCCAAAACAGGCCUGCAGUUGCAUCAGACACAAGCAGCCAGGGAGAUGGCAAGAAUACUUCUCAAACACAGCACAGACUAAACAGAUCAUAAAAAUCCAAUGCUAUUUAUGUGUUGUUGCACAUGUUUGUUUGAACACUCUUGUAAUGCAGUUUUACGGGCCAAAUGUGCAUCUGUCACGUGGAAGAGGGUGCCAUGUAUCAAACCACCCUCUUACGAGCUCUACAGAUGAAGUUAACCUGUAGUGUCUCACUUCACUUUCUCCACGCAAAGCAUAAAAAACAGCAGAGGCAACCCAGGCAUACACAGCUUUAACUAUCAAAGAGACAGGAAAGCUCAGAGUUGCACAGAGCUGUUGCUUACCUUCUGCUGAGAUUGUGCAAAAUAGACCUCUGCAAACUUCAACACCAACACGUAGUCACCCUCUUCUUUGAUGGGAACUUCAUAGCCAAAGGUUUCCUCGUUGUAACGCUCUGUCUGGUACAGGAUCUGAUCUUCUGCAUUGGACCGCAGGAUUGGCAGUUUCAUACCGUAGUCAGAAGCUGUAUUUCAAGCACAAAACAGGGAGAGGAACGGUUAAUUUCUGAGGAACAUGAAGAGAUGCUUUAUUUACUCUUAAGUGCAUAACUCCCACACUGGCCUUAGCACUCACUGCCUUAGUGAGGCCCAUCCUCACUCCUUGCUCUGGUCAGGAGAAGGCACCACUGGAGCAGAAGUAGAAACAGCCAAAAUCCCUGAACCUGGGUCCUGCAGAAAAACGGGUCUGGACCUGCAGCAGUCCAAGAGACAAAAUUCGCUCACAGAGUUUCAAUAAGAAGAGCUGGUUUCACAAGCAGGGCACAGAGCCAAAAGACUUGGCCCCAGACUCCUGCUUCAAAGAGGGAAAAAACGCCUAGAAUAUUUUUACAACAUUUUCAAAGUACAAACUCUGAGUACAGAACCUAAGCAGUCACUUCAGGACUGACUGCAGUCAUUCAUUCAGCAGGUUUGAAGUUAGCAGGCAGCGGCACAAGGUUUUAGACUCACUCUCCAGCAGCAAAAACCUGAGGGAAGGCAGAAGGGUGAAAAGCAGCAGAUAAGACUUACAAAACCCUUUCUUCUCACCACAGGCAGGCAGUACAUAUCAGCUUGAACAAGGAAGUAGGAAAAGUACAGAAGGGUUUCAAGAGCAGCUCCAUCUCACAGCCACUCGGCUGAAACGGGCACCAACUGCAGGCUCUGAACAGCCCCUAAGAAGGGCUCAAACAACACUGCCAAUAGCUGAGAAAACAACAGAAGUCAUAACAUUUGCCUCUUCUUGCUCCCUACGUCACCACCUCCUGAGCAGCUCUCAGGAGCUCUUACCCUGACUCGGCGUUCUGUUGCGCUACUGUGCAAAUGCAAACUGAUGUGUGCCUUGAGAGCUCAGAACAGAACAACGCCUCAGCAAUGCAGGAGGGAAGGCUGCAGGCACCCAAAGCCCAGUGGCACCUCAGCCAGCAGAAGGUGAUGCAGACCAAGUUAUCUACUGACACUUACCACUGCCACCCCUGUUUCCCUGGGAACAGACACUGCGUUGGCCAAGACAAAGCAAGAACUUCUAACCCAGAACAUAUUGCCAAAAUGGAGCCAAUGCAGACGAGCAAGAGGAAAUUAAUGCCAGUUCUUCAUCUCGUGUUUCACACGCAGCUACUCAGGCAGUAUUACAUGCUGCUGCUCUUUGCCACUCAAACCAGGGCACAGAGACUGGAGGCUCUAAUCAGCAGCAAUACAGAGGGUGAAAAGUUUAACCAGUCCUCCCACACAGACAUCUCCAGCCAGCUACAGAUUACAGCAGUCACAAACCAAGGGCUCCACACAAGUCAGCUCCUAUCAGAGGAAAGCCUGCGUAUAAAGGAAGCCCAUUAAUAGCCAAGACGGUAACUGGAGAGGAAGAGUUGUCACCCAGAGGACUGUUGACAUAGCCAUGAAAGUGAUCUUGAUUUCCCAGUGCAUUAGGUGUGCUCGGAGGCAGCUCACCAGGAGACAAGUGCACGCAUUACGGACACGUAAUUGCUAUCAGCACAUCCUGUUCCUCGGGGCUCAGCAUCUGGACUGAGGCUCGAAAAGCCCAGAGGUGAAGUGCUGCCCCACGUCCUUCCCUCCCAGCCCGCCACGUACUCCCAGUCAGCCACUGCAUGCCGAUCUGCACAGAGAAGCCUGGCACCAAGCAAACAAUUGUGCAAUAAAAAGCCAUUGAAGGAAACGCACUUAAUAGCUCAAAGGGGUAAAGUCUUCUCGGCCGUGCCUGGCACCAUCAGCUAGAGCAGGCUUACUGACAGCCUGCUGUUCAGAGAACACUGGCCUUCCCCAAAGGAGGAGCAGGCCACAGCGUGCUCAGAAAAGACCCUUUUCUUCCUCCUCAACUCAGAAAUACGUCCACCAGGACAUUCUCUUUCAGGUCACACACGAGAGGUGCGUGGAAGGAGCCGACCCAUACUGAUCAGCACACGAGGGCAGGGCAUGAGACACUACGAACCUGUAUUAACAUUUAAACGUGACCUCUGUCCACACGGUGCGCUGAGGGCUCCCCGUACAGCAGGGCUGCUCCUCACACAAGGUCCCAGGGCACAGCGCAGUCCUUGCAGCCCUCACACACACACGGUGAACAGACCAACGGCUCUCUGUGCUCCUGCACUCACCUGUAAGCGGCAGCGGGAGCAGCUCAGCACAGAGAGCCUUCCAAUGCGUUCAUGGAUCGGCUGAGAUACGGUUCACCGAUUAUGAUAAAACGGGCAAAAACUCAGACAUCCUGGGGGGCUUCGGGGGAAGCACGGCAAGGAAACCCACGUGUAAGUGGAACAGCAGCCCUGCAGCUGCUCACGGACAGAAGCUUCCAGCGAUUCGGGAAAUGCUACAGCUGAGAACGGCUCCUCCGCUCUGCGCUUCAGCAGGAACUGCCGCCCGGCGCUGCGCUGCGCUGCGGGAGGACAGCGAGGAGGGGCCGCUCUCAGCUCCCCGCUCUCAGCG
rnacentral:lncRNA from 1 species